GGAUUCUAUCAGUUUGCUAAAAGAUUUGAUCUUUAAGCUUUAGUUUUCUUUUUUCUUGUAUAAGAAGGGUACAUGUUCCUGCAAGGAAGUCAAAACAUCUUUUUAAACAGAAAAUAUUUAUCGAUAGGCUAUGAAAAGCAGCACCAAAUGAGGCAGACAUUUAGAUUGGGUGUUCCAGUUGUGAGUCAGCCUUAGGGCCAUGGUGAGUGGCUGGGUUCUGUUCAUGUUAUGAAUGGGUUUUGCCUCCUGCUGCCUAGUUUUCUAACUUUGUCUUUAGUGCAAGUUUUCCCGGGUGGACCCACCCAUUCUCGACGAUGUGCGCUGCCUGGUCCUAUUGGAAAAUGCAGAGCUUGCCCAGGUGCAGGCUCAGACAGGUGUGGGGUGGCUCUGCUCCUCCACCCUGAACCAACAUGGCAUCUCCAUGGAGACCACCCCACACACUGAUCUCACGAGGAUAGCCACACCUGAGCACACAACCUUGGGUAGGGACCAGCUUUUCUUUUCUCUUUGGAAAAGAGAAACUGUGUGGGAGAAGGAUGAUUUUACGUGAGUGAAGCGUUCCCUGGCCCUCACACAGCCCAAGGACUAAUGUCUGCACGGGAGGGCGGUGCUCACGGCAGCCUUGGGGAUGAUGCGUGGACCUUCCAGUGGAGCUUGCCUUGGAAACAGGUCUUCCCAGCCUCAAGGAAAUGGCCAGCUGUCUGCCUCUGGCUGUCCUGUUCCCUCAUCACCAGCUUAGAAAGCCUCCAUGGUGUCAUACCGAAUAAAGUCCAGAUUCCUUCACAGGGGACUGCAGGGGAAGACAACAGACUCGAUGGCUUAGCUAAAGCAAGCCUGGUACUUCCCUCAAGCAGCUUGUGGAUUGCAGAUUCCUGCCAGGCCCUCCAGAACCAGCCCAAGGUCUCUUCCCCCAGAUCUGUCUGCUCUCAGCAUUUUCUCCAAAAAGAGCCACGGGGAGGCUAUGCAAGUCAGGAGUAGAACCUGGGAGUCCUUCCAUCAGGAGCUGCAUGUCCCGUGCCUGCCGUGUUCCACACUCAGUGCCAGGGCUGGAGACACCCUCCCUGAGAUGACCCCAGCCCCGCUUUCCAGGAGCUGGGCGUCCAGGCUGGCAGGUGAGAAGCAUCCUGCCAGGCAAGGCUACCCCAGGCUUUGCCCUCAACUUCUGGAUUGUUGCACCUCUGUGUGAAUAUGCUCCCGUCCCACCUGACAUGGUGUGAUUUGGGUACCGUCCAACUUAAGAUGAAAAGAAGCCAGCCACGUGGCAAGCCGCCCUGCCGCCUCUGCUGGGGUGCCCCUCCUGCCGGCCAGGAUCUCACUCUCCCUUCUGAGUGGGGCUGUGAAGUGUCUAAUCCAGGCUUUUAUCUGGCAUCCACAAUUAUAAUGUCAAGAUUGAAUAAUCUGCCUUUAUCUUCUGGGUGACAGCCAUGUAGAAACUUCAAAAGAAACAGUAAUGCUGGCAUCUAACGGCUUUUGUUAAUUACUAUAUCCCAAAGAAAAUGAAAUAAAGGAGGAAGAAAAAUGAU
rnacentral:lncRNA from 1 species